GAUGAACGCUAGCGGCAGGCUUAAUACAUGCAAGUCGAGGGACAGCACAGGUAGCAAUACUGGGUGGUAACCGGCAAACGGGUGCGGAACACGUACACAACCUUCCUUUAAGUGGGGGAUAGCCCAGAGAAAUUUGGAUUAAUACCCCGAAAUAUAGUUGAAUGGCAUCAUUUGAUUAUUAUAGCUACGGCGCUUAAUGAUGGGUGUGCGGCUGAUUAGAUAGUUGGCGGGGUAACGGCCCACCAAGUCUACGAUCAGUAGCUGAUGUGAGGGCAGGAUCAGCCACACGGGCACUGAGACACGGGCCCGACUCCUACGGGAGGCAGCAGUAAGGAAUAUUGGUCAAUGGACGCAAGUCUGAACCAGCCAUGCCGCGUGAAGGAUUAAGGUCCUCUGGAUUGUAAACUUCUUUUAUUUGGGAAGAAAAAGAGCCUUUCUAGGUCAACUGACGGUACCAGAUGAAUAAGCACCGGCUAACUCCGUGCCAGCAGCCGCCGUAAGAC
rnacentral:rRNA from 1 species